ACGAACAGCUGCCAUGUCGGCAGCCCGCAACAGUCUGUUCUCCCUUCCAGGCUCAGCAAGCAUGCUUUUGCUGUUCUUAAACACACAUCUACCAAGGUACCGGAUGUCUCUCUCCAGACAGAAAUGACUGAACCCUUGAAAAUGUACACUGGAGAACGUGGACACUGUAAAUCUUUAUGGACAAGGAGAAAACGGGGUGUUUAGAGCGUGUGGCUGGUUUAAAGCUAAUGCAAAUACAGAUUCAAGUUCCUGCCAUUGCAAUGCUAUUAAAGCCACAAGAGCAACAAAGAGCUCUAACUUAGAACAAUGCAUCCUACUACGUCUCCAACCGCUCUGAAGCUGGAUUCCUUCCCAGGCUCCCAGCCUCUCCACCUCCUUCCACAGAACCAGGGCAAGGAUUUUGAAGAAACGAGAGCAGUGAGGCCAAGUGCCCCACUUGGACUGGAGGACGGCAUCUCCUGCUUCCUCAAAUGCCUUGUGUUUGGAGUUCAG